CGGAGAAGCUGAGUUAAUGAGUGCCGAGGAGGAGUUGUUGUCGGAGGUUUUGAGGAACCAGAAUCAGGCAGUCUCUAUUGGGCCUUGAUACCUACCUCUAACUAUAUGUAGUUUUCUGCUGGAACUUCACACAAAUGAGCACUAGCCAUUGUUACUGAGCACCUAUCAAUGUCAAGUGCUGAGCUAAAUACUUCGAACUCAAGUUCAUCCUCACAACAUCCCUACAUGGAAAGUAUUAUCACCCACAUGAUUCCGAAGCUCAGAAACGGUGGAAACAGAGGUUGACAGAGGUGAAAGGUUACUUGCUAAAGCUUGCACAGAAUUGUCAUGAGAGAACAUAUGUCCGAAUCCAGAGUGUUUGAACUCCAAAGCCC